AUACGGAGGAUGCGAGCGUUAUCCGGAUUUAUUGGGUUUAAAGGGUGCGUAGGCUGUUAUAUAAGUCAGUGGUGAAAUAUUCGGGCUCAACCGGGAUACUGCCAUUGAUACUGUAUAGCUGGAAUAUGGUUGCUGUGGGUGGAAUGUGUGGUGUAGCGGUGAAAUGCAUAGAUAUCACACAGAAUAUCGAUUGCGAAGGCAGCUCACAAAGCUAAAAUUGACGCUGAUGCACGAAAGUGUGGGGAUC
rnacentral:rRNA from 1 species